CCCAAGAGUAGAAAUAUUCCCUUGGAGGCUAAACUCUGGUAUAACUUCAGAAGUUGAGCUGUAUUUUAAGAGGUAAGUUAGUAAGUUUGGAUGGUGCUUCUAAACAUGGAGCUGUCUGGGAACAGUGGGAGGUGGAAAAUCAUCCCACUGGGACACGAGAGAUCUGGCUUCCUUUUCUCUGCCUUGUCAGUAUGUCUGUUUACCUAGGGAAAAGGGAAUUAUUAUGGUCAAAUUACCAAAUCACAGUUUAAGAUGCUGGAAUUCGAUCCCUAGCUCUGUUGCUGAUUUCCUUUGCGCUGUAAUCAAAUAAUUUGAUAUCCUUGUGGAUCGGGUCAGUCUGUCUAAAAGAAUAUUCCUGCCUUUCCCNNNNNNNNNNNNNNNNNNNNNNNNNNNNNNNNNNNNNNNNNNCUAGCAUAGGCUUCUGUGGCAGCUGAAGAGCUGGCCGGCAGCUGGGCGCGUGCCCAAGCACACAGUGCCACCGACGCCUCGGGCGCGCUGCACAUCUGCAAACGUUCACUGUACGCUUCUGGCUGUCAAGUCCGGGACAGGAGCUGAGCCUUGACACUCGGGAAGGCUUAUAAUGGAUGUCUCCUCACUGCUGAGCAAACAAAAGCCUGCAGCCACAUCUGAUUCCUGUACUCAUUUUAAAUUGUGGUUUACCGGAGGAGGAGAUGUCAAGAACUUCAUGGUCUAAAGGAGUAGAAUGCAACAAUGUCUGCCCAACACCGAGGAGCGCGUGCAUGCUUAAACGCAUAUUUAUAGAGCUACGUGUGCAUUUAAAGGCUAUGAAAGAUGACAGCAACAAUUUUUCAGCUAGAAGGACAGUCACUGCUUGCAGUGGAAGACUGGCCUACAUCAAGCCAAAGACUGCAGACAACUGAUACAAACUUUGCUGGUCCCAGUUGAGUCAUUUACUGUCUCUGAACUCCACGUGCCUUUUACAGAAAGUGAGGAUUGCACUGACUUGCAGGCUAGGGCAGUUGUGAUGAGUAAUUAGCUCAUGACUUGGAAGACCUUAAAUGAUGAAAGUGGCACGUCAGGGAUACGAACUAUUAUUACAAAGGAUGGAGAAGUCCAUGCUUGAGCAGCUUCACAGUAGGAUCCCCAUUGCUGUACAAAGGUAGGGUAAGAAGGGCUGCUCUGUUUUCUAGCUUCUUUUCUCUGAGCUUUUCAUGUGGGAUACCAUCUCAUCUAUCAGGUAACAUUUCAUUAUCUUUCACGGUAACGCUUGAGUCGUAUAUCAUAUUUUCUAAUUUCUUUUUUUGCAAGCCUAGCGCAAUAUCAAUAACGUUACCUUUCACAAUACUGCUUUCAGCACUGGCUAUACAGUGCCGCAUCUUUCACAUGUUUUUUGCCGUUUAUCAAAAUGAAACAUGACAGCAGCUGGAAAUGAUGCUCACAUUUAGUACUUAAUGAUACAUCUGCUUCCUAUCAUGCAAAAAUUCUGAUGCUUUGCUAAACAGAUAUUUUGUUUAGCAACAACCUGUGUGCCAAACUGAAGGUUCAUUAGCUUACGCCUAUCAGCAAGUGAAUCCAGUGUAAUGAGGAGUUGAGUCUACAGGCUACAAUGGCUUAGUUAUUCCACUUUAAAAAAUAGAGUUGACAAAUACUGGAGUUAACGCUGUGCAGACUUCUGAGAAAUACCAAUUUUAAAAUGUGAAAUGCCAUCAAGUACUGUUCCUACUUUCUGUUCAAAGGGUAAACAUGGGAGUCUGCCUACGUAGAGGAGCUCAUCCCGGAAGCUGCCGUUAUUGGAAUAGAAAAAAUGUAUGAGAAAAGUAAUAAUAAGCUAUUUUUUCUUUGUCUUCUGGUGUAAUUUAUAAGCCAUUAGAACCCAUUCAAAAUUGCACAGGAUUCCAGGCGAGAGAGCACAGCAAAGAA
rnacentral:lncRNA from 1 species